UACGGAGGAUGCAAGCGUUAUCCGGAAUGAUUGGGCGUAAAGCGUCCGCAGGUGGCUAUGUAAGUCUGCUGUUAAAGAGUCUAGCUCAACUAGAUAAGAGCAGUGGAAACUACAAGGCUAGAGUACGUUCGGGGCAGAGGGAAUUCCUGGUGUAGCGGUGAAAUGCGUAGAGAUCAGGAAGAACACCAAUGGCGAAGGCGCUCUGCUAGGCCGUAACUGACACUGAGGGACGAAAGCUAGGGGAGCGAAUGGG
rnacentral:rRNA from 1 species